GAUGAACGCUGGCGGCGUGCCUAAUACAUGCAAGUCGAGCGAACGGACGAGAAGCUUGCUUUUCUGAUGUUAGCGGCGGACGGGUGAGUAACACGUGGAUAACCUACCUAUAAGACUGGGAUAACUUCGGGAAACCGGAGCUAAUACCGGAUAAUAUUUUGAACCGCAUGGUUCAAAAGUGAAAGACGGUCUUGCUGUCACUUAUAGAUGGAUCCGCGCUGCAUUAGCUAGUUGGUAAGGUAACGGCUUACCAAGGCAACGAUGCAUAGCCGACCUGAGAGGGUGAUCGGCCACACUGGAACUGAGACACGGUCCAGACUCCUACGGGAGGCAGCAGUAGGGAAUCUUCCGCAAUGGGCGAAAGCCUGACGGAGCAACGCCGCGUGAGUGAUGAAGGUCUUCGGAUCGCAAAACUCUGUUAUUAGGGAAGAACAUAUGUGUAAGUAACUGUGCACAUCUUGACGGUACCUAAUCAGAAAGCCACGGCUAACUACGUGCCAGCAGCCGCGGUAAUACGUAGGUGGCAAGCGUUAUCCGGGAUUAUUGGGCGUAAAGCGCGCGUAGGCGGUUUUUUAGUCUGAUGUGAAAGCCCACGGCUCACCCGUGGAGGGUCAUUGGAAACUGGAAAACUUGAGUGCAGAAGAGGAAAGUGGAAUUCCAUGUGUAGCGGUGAAAUGCGCAGAGAUGUGGAGGAACACCAGUGGCGAAGGCGACUUUCUGGUCUGUAACUGACGCUGAUGUGCGAAAGCGUGGGGAUCAAACAGGAUUAGAUACCCUGGUAGUCCACGCCGUAAACGAUGAGUGCUAAGUGUUAGGGGGUUUCCGCCCCUUAGUGCUGCAGCUAACGCAUUAAGCACUCCGCCUGGGGAGUACGACCGCAAGGUUGAAACUCAAAGGAAUUGACGGGGGCCCGCACAAGCGGUGGAGCAUGUGGUUUAAUUCGAAGCAACGCGAAGAACCUUACCAAAUCUUGACAUCCUUUGACAACUCUAGAGAUAGAGCCUUCCCCUUCGGGGGACAAAGUGACAGGUGGUGCAUGGUCGUCGUCAGCUCGUGUCGUGAGAUGUUGGGUUAAGUCCCGCAACGAGCGCAACCCUUAAGCUUAGUUGCCAUCAUUAAGUUGGGCACUCUAAGUUGACUGCCGGUGACAAACCGGAGGAAGGUGGGGAUGACGUCAAAUCAUCAUGCCCCUUAUGAUUUGGGCUACACACGUGCUACAAUGGACAAUACAAAGGGCAGCGAAACCGCGAGGUCAAGCAAAUCCCAUAAAGUUGUUCUCAGUUCGGAUUGUAGUCUGCAACUCGACUACAUGAAGCUGGAAUCGCUAGUAAUCGUAGAUCAGCAUGCUACGGUGAAUACGUUCCCGGGUCU
rnacentral:rRNA from 1 species